UGUAUAGCUAAAGCUAACUGUGUUUUGUAAAAAAUAUAGAUUCGAUUUAUUCGUAUAAAGUUCAAGGUAGAGUUUAUGAUAAUGACAUUUUCUAUCUAUAGUCUUGACCAACAUGCGUGCCAGCAGUCGCGGCAAGACGCUAAAGACAAGUGUUAUUCAUCUUUAAUAGGUUUAAAGCGUACCUAGACGGUAAAUCAAGCCUUAAUCGGGACUAAUUUAACUAGAGUUAGAUGUAAGGGUGCAUUAACGUACUGUUGAGUGUAGAGAUGAAAUUCUUUCAUACCAGAUGAUUGGCACGGGUUUAGGCGAAAGCAUCACCUUAUGUAAUAACUGACGUUGAAGGACGAAGGCUUUGUAUCGCGAACAGGAUUAGAUACCCCAGUAGUCUAAGCAGAAAAUGAUGAGUGUCAUAGGUUAAAUAUUAUUUAGUCUAUAAAUGAAAGUGUAAGCAUUCCACCUCAUGAGUAAUUUGGCAACAUUGGAAUUGAAAUCAUUAGACCGUUUCUGAAACCAGUAGUGAAGUAUGUUGUUUAAUUAGAUGAUCCACAAAGAACCUUACCACAAUUUGAAUAUUUUUAUUUUACAAGCGUUGCACGGCUGUCUACAGUUAAUGUCGUGAGAUUCUGGUUAGUUCCAUUUAAUUAACGUAAACCCUAACUUUAUUUUAUUUAUAUAAAGUUGUUCGCCGCUAGAUUGGUAUUGAUAAAAGGGG
rnacentral:rRNA from 1 species